CGGCACCGCAUGGUGACAGUUGUUAAAGUGGGGGAUCUUCGGACCUCACGCCUAAAGAGGAGCCCGCGCCCGAUUAGCUAGUUGGUGGGGUAAUGGCUUACCAAGGCGACGAUCGGUAGCCGGCCUGAGAGGGCGGUCGGCCACACUGGCACUGAGAUACGGGCCAAACUCCUACGGGAGGCAGCAUUGGGGAAUUUUGGGGCAUUGGGGGAACCCUGACCCAUCAACGCCUGCUGAAGGAUGACGCAUCCGGUAUGUCAGCGCCACAAGAAAACGAAGACUCCCUGGCGGGACUCAUUAUACGGGUCCGCCUCACUCCCCGUCACACCCCCCGCACUCACCCAGGACCC
rnacentral:rRNA from 1 species